rnacentral:rRNA from 1 species
AACGUAGGACGCAAGCGUUAUCCGGAGUUACUGGGCGUAAAGCGCGCGUAGGCGGACCUGCAAGUCGGGGGGUGAAAGCCCGAGGCUCAACCUCGGAACUGCCUUCGAUACUGCGGGUCUCGAGUCCGGGAGAGGUGAGUGGAAUUCCUAGUGUAGAGGUGAAAUUCGUAGAUAUUAGGAAGAACACCAGUGGCGAAGGCGGCUCACUGGCCCGGUACUGACGCUGAGGCGCGAAAGCGUGGGGAGCAAACAGGG